rnacentral:rRNA from 1 species
GUAGAUCAUCUGCCCUCAGGCCCGGGAUAGCUGCGGGAAACUGCAGGUAAUACCGGAUAACAUCUCCGGAUCAAAGGUGUGAUUCCGCCUGAGGAUGAGUCUGCAUCCUAUUAGCUAGUUGGCAGGGUAACGGCCUACCAAGGCAUUGAUGGGUAGCGGGUGUGAGAGCACGACCCGCGUCAUUGGGACUGAGACACUGCCCAGACACCUACGGGUGGCUGCAGUCGAGAAUCUUCGGCAAUGGGCGCAAGCCUGACCGAGCGACGCCGCGUGUGGGAUGAAGGCCUUCGGGUUGUAAACCACUGUCAGAGGGGAUGAAAUGCAGGUGGGUUCUCCCAUCUGUUUGACAUAGCCUCAGAGGAAGGACGGGCUAAGUUCGUGCCAGCAGCCGCGGUAAGACGAACCGUCCAAACGUUAUUCGGAAUUACUGGGCUUAAAGGGUGCGUAGGCGGCGCGGUAAGUUGGGUGUGAAAUCCCUCGGCUCAACCGAGGAACUGCGCCCAAUACUACCGUGCUC